GAGAGAGAGAGAGAGAGAACCCAAGAGUGAACGUGAUCCUAGGUGAAAUGAUCAAAGGUGGAGGAAUCACAACAUCUGGUUUCAAAACAUAAAAAACAUGGGAUUUCCAACAGAAAAGAUACCUGUGUCAUCCUGUUGUUCAUUUUUAUUUUUGUAUAUUUAUUUUACCUUAUGGAUAUGAAGGUCUUCCUGUGAGUAUACAUGUACACCAUGCACAUGUCCACUGCCCACAGAGGUCCCUGGAACUGGAGCUACAGAUGGUUGUGAGCUGGGAACUGAACUCAGGUCCUCUGCAAAAGCAACAAGUGCUCUUAAGUGAAGCGCCAUCUCUGCAGUUCACAUGACAACCUUUCAUCCAGGCCUUUGCCAGCCUUAUGAAAAAUGCAGCUGAAACUACACGCCAAUGCCUUAAGCAGGCUCAAACCAAGGAGAGGAGUUGCAGAGAGCACAUCCUCCCAGCUCACCACAGUCGAUGUGGCCAAACGUUAUACUCCAGGCAAGAAGCAGCAAGCCAGCAAAUGCUCAACACUGUCUCUAACAACCUGCUUUCCAGGGAGGAGUUUAGCACCUGUACAUCUCUGCUCUCCAGAUAAUCCCUCCGCGGCCAGUUUUAAGAAGCCGAUAUGAUAUUAAAUGUCUUGCGCAAUUAUUCAAUGUUAGCAACUGGUCACAAGGCUCUCGUGAGCAGGCACUUCUGCCUCAAAGCCAACACAGCACUGUAGCUGUACCCACUCCUUCUCUUGUACCCCACCCUACUCUCCCCUUCCGAGUUCAGUGAAGUCUGGUUAUUCAAGAUGGAUGCCCAAGAAAUGUUGAAGCUAGUGUAGUAUCCGAACCUCUGUUUUCCUCUUCAAUUCUGACAUCUUUCAGCCAAAAGAACUGUAAUGCCUAACUUUGCUUCAACCCACGUUGCUAAGAAACCUUCUCAGAAGAAAUAACAGACUACAUAAUGGGUACCAGGCAAGACCCUGUCUCAAAAUCCAAAGACCCAAAAAGUGUCUCUAGCUAAACCUGAAUGGAAACAAAGACCUCCGGCCAAGAAGGGCUGAAGUUUGAAAGAUGAACCUGGAGUGCAGCAGGGAGCGUGUACGAAGUGAAAGAAGCCAUUUCUGAGCCUUAUAAAGAUGUUCAAAAGGUCUUUAAGCCCAUUCAACCAUCACCUCUGUGUUUUGUCUCCUUUUGCUGCUAUUUAAAUGUAAUUUUGAUGUCUGCCAAGUUAAAUUACCUAUUUGCCCUUAAGUGAAAAUGAUGUAAUUAUCCUUAAUAAGUAUAACUAUCAUCCUGCAUUUUGUUUGAUGGGUAGGAAGUUUUAUGCCUUUUAGAAGCACACCUUCAAGCAGACCACUGGGCUUUUCAGACAGCCAGAAACCAGCUCUACACGGAGUGACAGACAAGACCAGAACCUCUCCUGUUCCCCAUAACAAUUUGAAAUAGUUUGAAAAAAAAAAAGUACACAUUCACCAGAAGAUGCACUCUCAUAAAAACUGACAAAGCAAGGAAAUCCUACAUGGGUUUUGAGAAAGGAAGUCAAUGUCCUAGUACAGCCUACCUUUCAGCUUAAAAGCAAUAAAAACAUUGUUCUUGUUCUAA